CUGUUGUUGCGCCAGCAGCAUAGCAGGGUAGCUAAGUGCGGAAAGGAUAACCGCUGAAAGCAUCUAAGCGGGAAGCCCCCCUCAAAACCAGGUAUCCCUAUCAGAGCCGUGGAAGACCACCACGUUGAUAGGCUGGAAGUGGAAGCGCAGCAAUGCGUGAAGCGGACCAGUACUAAUUGCUCGAUCGGCUUGAUCCA
rfam:Oceanicaulis alexandrii HTCC2633 scf_1099451005985 genomic scaffold, whole genome shotgun sequence.